CUCUGGCUAAUCAGAGCUCUAAAUUAAACAAAAAUAACCACACAGAAAACAGUUUUUAGAUAACUGGACUUAUUCCGCAUUUACUGAAGCAUCUUUACAAAGGAGACAUUCUUCACCCACAGCAGGUGACCACUCGGGCCUGUGAAACACUUUACCAUUUAGAGCAUGCUCCUCUCUCCUGAAGGUAGAAUUUGUGCACAUACUGACACUGAGGACAGUGUUAAAGCACCAUGAAAGGAUCCAUCCAGCGCACUGCACAUUCCUGCAGGGAUUUAGAAGUUCCUUUAUUGAAGAAUGCUGCCCCCUAGAGGAGACAGAAGGUUUGGUUCAAGGGAAC